GAUGAACGCUAGCGGCAGGCUUAAUACAUGCAAGUCGAGGGGCAGCACAGGUAGCAAUACUGGGUGGCGACCGGCAAACGGGUGCGGAACACGUACACAACUUACCUUAGGGUGGGGGAUAGCCCAGGGAAACUUGGAUUAAUACCCCAUAAAACAGGGGGCCCGCAUGGGCAUAUUGUUAAAGAUUUAUCGCUUUAAAAUGGGUGUGCGUAUGAUUAGGUAGUUGGUAGGGUAAAGGCCUACCAAGCCGACGAUCAUUAACUGGUGUGAGAGCACGACCAGUCACACGGGCACUGAGACACGGGCCCGACUCCUACGGGAGGCAGCAGUAAGGAAUAUUGGUCAAUGGACGGAAGUCUGAACCAGCCAUGCCGCGUGAAGGAUGAAGGUCCUCUGGAUUGUAAACUUCUUUUAUAGGGGGCGAAAAAGGGCCAUUCUUGGUCAACCGACGGUACCCUAUGAAUAAGCACCGGCUAACUCCGUGCCAGCCGCCGCAGUAACAC
rnacentral:rRNA from 1 species